GCUUCGGCCCCGACUCCCACCCCUUGUGUACCUUAACCUUUGUUGCUUUGGCGGGCCUGCGCGCCCUGAAAAAGCGCGCUGCCGGCUUCUGCUGGCUCGUGCCCGCCAGAGGCCCUCCAAACUCCUGUUUUUACCGGUGUCGUCUGAGCGUAAACAUGAAUAUUAAAACUUUCAACAACGGAUCUCUUGGUUCUGGCAUCGAUGAAGAACGCAGCGAAAUGCGAUAAGUAAUGUGAAUUGCAGAAUUCAGUGAAUCAUCGAAUCUUUGAACGCACAUUGCGCCCUUUGGUAUUCCGAAGGGCAUGCCUGUUCGAGCGUCAUUACACCCCUCAAGCUUUGCUUGGUAUUGGGCCUCCGUCCGCCAGCGGACGGGCCUCGAAAUCCUCGGCGGCGGCGCCCGGCUUUGAGCGUAGUAGAAAUUCUCAUCUCGCUUUGAAGGCCCGUGGCGUCUGCUUGCCGGACGACCCCCAAUCUUUCUUCUAAGGUUGACCUCGGAUCAGGUAGGGAUACCCGCUGAACUUAAGCAUAUCAAUAAGCGGAGGAA
rnacentral:rRNA from 1 species